rnacentral:sRNA from 1 species
GAAGAAUCAAAUCAAGGAAGAGGGAAC